rnacentral:tRNA from 1 species
AGGAACUUAGGAUAAUUUACAGACCAUGGGCCUUCAAAGCCCACAGUAGGAGCGAAAACCUCCUAGUUCCUG